rnacentral:ncRNA from 2 species
CGAAUAGUCGUUGGCAAGGGUGCCCCGCAUGGCCUCCGCCUGAAGCGGAGGCCGGGGUUAAAAGCGAAGCCGGUGUGAGGCCGGCGCUGUCCCGCAACUGUAGUCCGCCUUGGGCGGAGAGUCAGGUCGCCUGCCCUUGUCAGAUGCACCAG